rnacentral:sRNA from 1 species
CGAAUUCAGACGGCCCACUCCUCCUCCCAAGGGGCGUCUGUCGGAACAGCGGCACUCCUCCUCUUGAGCCACUGUUCGGUUCUUUUCGGAAAGCCUGCCGCACCUCCUCCCGCGGCAGGCUUUUUCG